GACUACAAGACGAAAGAAUUGGAGAGCAUUGAUGACGCCAACAUCAUGUUUGACCCCGGUGUGACCUGAGGCCACGUGAGAACCUCGGUGACAAUUAAACUCAAAUACAUUCUUAAAGUCAUCCGACGUUGCUUACAGUUCCAACUAUCAGCGGCACAAAUGAUUACAAAGCUAAAAAAAUCACCCAGUUACGUCUUUCUAGGAGGUUUCUUAAACCAAAAUAAAUGAUUCAUCCUACUGGUCGCCCGCGGUCAUAGCUGCAACUGCAAACACUGUCCGCCUGAUCCUCUGAGGGCCCAUUGUUUUGGGGGACCUCACAGGCUUCCCUCCUAAUCCAAUCGGCCACGGACGUUUCGGCUCAGGACCCUUCUUCUCCGUGCUUUGGGGGGGAUUGACGGGGCUGUCCGAGGGAGCCAGUGGUGGGGAGGUUUGGAAAAAUCACUUGUCCAAAUACAGCCUUGUUUCAUUACAGGUGGGGGCUGAUGCAUGUCUGUCAUGGCACUCAGAGUCCCCCCACCCCCCUCGCCUAGCCCCCCAAAGCCACUUUGUAUGUCCGUCUCUCUCUCUCUCUCUCUCUCUCUCUCUCUCUCUCUCUCUCUCUCUCUCUCUCUCUCUCUCCCUCUCUCUCU
ensembl:lncRNA